AGGAUGAACGCUGGCGGUCUGCUUAACACAUGCAAGUCGAACGGGCGUAGCAAUACGUUAGUGGCGGACGGGUGAGUAACGCGUGAGAAUCUACCUUCAGGACGGAGACAACAGUUGGAAACGACUGCUAACCCCCGAUGUACUGAAAAGGCAAAUAUUUAUAGCCUGAAGAAGAGCUCGCGUCCGAUUAGCUAGUUGGAGAGGUAAAAGCUCACCAAGGCGACGAUCGGUAGCUGGUCUGAGAGGACGAUCAGCCACACUGGGACUGAGACACGGCCCAGACUCCUACGGGAGGCAGCAGUGGGAAUUUCCGCAAUGGGCGAAAGCCUGACGGAGCAAGACCGCGUGGGGGAAGAAGGCUCUUGGGUUGUAAACCCCUUUUCUCUGGAAGAAAGUUGUGAAAGCAGCCUGACGGUACCAGAGGAAUCAGCAUCGGCUAACUCCGCGCCAGCAGCCGC
rnacentral:rRNA from 1 species